ACAGAGGAAUAGCCUUUAGAAAUGAAGAUUAAUGCCUCAUAGUAUUGUAGACUGGCAUCAGUUUAUAAUUAAAGAUUUAUCGGUAAAAGAUGGCUAUGCGUCCUAUUAGUUAGUUGGUAAGGUAACGGCUUACCAAGACAGCGAUAGGUAGGGGUCCUGAGAGGGAGAUCCCCCACACUGGUACUGAGACACGGACCAGACUCCUACGGGAGGCAGCAGUGAGGAAUAUUGGACAAUGGAGGAGACUCUGAUCCAGCCAUGCCGCGUGUAGGAAGAAUGCCCUAUGGGUUGUAACUACUUUUAUACAGGAAGAACACUGGUAUGUAUACCAGCUUGACGGUACUGU
rnacentral:rRNA from 1 species